CCUACGGGACGCAGCAGUGGGGAAUAUUGCACAAUGGGCGCAAGCCUGAUGCAGCCAUGCCGCGUGUAUGAAGAAGGCCUUCGGGUUGUAAAGUACUUUCAGCGGGGAGGAAGGGAGUGAGGUUAAUAACCUCAUUCAUUGACGUUACCCGCAGAAGAAGCACCGGCUAACUCCGUGCCAGCAGCCGCGGUAAUACGGAGGGUGCAAGCGUUAAUCGGAAUUACUGGGCGUAAAGCGCACGCAGGCGGUCUGUCAAGUCGGAUGUGAAAUCCCCGGGCUCAACCUGGGAACUGCAUUCGAAACUGGCAGGCUGAGUCUUGUAGAGGGGGUAGAAUUCCAGGUGUAGCGGUGAAAUGCGUAGAGAUCUGGAGGAAUACCGGUGGCGAAGGCGGCCCCCUGGACAAAGACUGACGCUCAGGUGCGAAAGCGUGGGGAGCAAACAGGAUUAGAUACCCGCGUAGUC
rnacentral:rRNA from 1 species